AUGUUAAAGACUAAGGCCUGGUACCAGUUCCUUUUUGCACUAUAUGCUAGUGUGACUUCAGUUUCCUAUAGUGAAGACACCCAAGGUGACUUGCACAACAUAAUGACUGUUUUAGUCCCUCGGCCCCUCCAGAUUUUGGUAAUGGAUCUCAGAGAAAUACUUGAAUCACUCCCCAGAAAAGGAAGCCUCAAUUUUACAGGUUCUCCGUAGAUUGCCAGCAGAGGAGAGGCUGAUGGGUGGCAUGAUGCAUGUAAGUAAUAUGAUGAGAACACAUCUCACUGUUUUGGUGGUUUUAUUUGAUACAUCACUGCAAAUGCAAGCAGAGUGUUUAAAAGCAGAGGAUUUUUUUUUAAAAAUAAGUUCCAUCUCUUAUCUAGAAAUCCUUUUUUGAGGAAAAUUGUCUUUAAGGAAGCCCUCCUCUUACCAAGCCUUUGCUUGCCGUUUUAAGAUGGAGCUGGUUGUGGUGUCGCAUUUCCAUAUGAGUGGAUGGUCGAUGUUCCUGCCCCAGCACACCAUGCAUGGGGCUCAGGGCGGAAAGCAGGCACACACCAGCCUUUGCUGUGCCAGCUGUGCAUACACCAACACAAUAAUCUAAGAUGUGAUCUGACUAUUUUUUCCUGCAGCUGUGUGAAGGAAUUUUUUUUUCCCCAAGAAAAACUAUGCGUUACAUAUGUGUGAACUUUGUGAGUGAAGUGAGGGGCUGUAAAGCUAACAGAGGGUCACAGUGAAUAUCACAACAUUUGGGUGAAGUACUGGAAAAGUUAUUUUACUAGGUGAAACUGGCUUUGCUAAUUUACUCAUUGAAGCCCCUUUUUUGUGUGCAUGUGUAAGGGUGUGUUAGGUGGUGGACUGUGAAACAGCUUCUUGGGAAUAUUGACAUAAGUAGGUAACUACAGUCUUCUGUCCCUAUUGAACACUUAUUUCUGAGAUAGUAAAAAAAAUAUAAAAAAAAGACAAAAACAACAAACAAACAAACAAAACCACAAAAAAACAACCCAAACUCAUAUGAUGUAAAUAAGUUGAAAAAACACCAAACUUAUCUUGAGAGCUUUCUGGCUAUUGCUAUGUUUUGGAGUAAUACAUUGUUCAAGAUACGGCACUGCUAUGAUGAAUUAAACUAAUAUAUCAUAAGAGUGCCAUAGCUUUGAUGAUGUAUUAAGGUAAUAUAUCGUUAAGGUGCCAUUGCUCUUAUGAUGCAUUACUCAAAACA
rnacentral:lncRNA from 1 species